rnacentral:rRNA from 1 species
AUUGAACGCUGGCGGCAGGCUUAACACAUGCAAGUCGAACGAGCGGCGGACGGGUGAGUAAUGUCUGGGAAACUGCCUGAUGGAUGGGGAUAACUACUGGAAACGGUAGCUACUACCGCAUACCAUCAGAUCUGCCCAGAUAGGAUUAGCUAGUUGGUGGUGUACUGGCGUACAUAGGCGGCGAUCCCUAGCUGGUCUGAGAGGAUGACCAGCAAAACGGGAACUGAGACACGGUCCAGACUCCUACGGGAGGCAGCAGUGGGGAAUAUUGGAUAAUGGGCGCAAGCCUGAUGCAGACAUGCCGCGUGUGGGAAGAAGGCCUUCGGGUUGUAAAGCACGUUCAGCGAGGAGGCGUUACUCGCAGAAGAAGCACCGGCUAACUCCGUGCCAGCAGCCGCGGUAAUUC